GGCUCUCGGCCGAGUCACGUGGGGUGGUGCCCGCAGAGUGCGGCUGCGCCGGCCGGUAGCUGCAGCUGGAGCGGUGGCGUUUGGAGGAGACUCGAAACUGGAUGGCUUCUACAGGGAGCCAGGCCUCUGAUAUAGACAAGAUUCUUGGAUUCUUCAGUGAUGGCGCACCCCCCACCAAAAAGCCCAGGAAGCUGCUUCCAAGCUUAAAAACUAAGAAGCCCCGGGAGCUCGUGCUGGUGAUCGGAACAGGCAUUAGUGCUGCAGUUGCCCCUCAGGUUCCAGCCCUAAAGUCCUGGAAGGGGUUAAUUCAGGCCUUACUGGAUGCUGCCAUUGAUUUUGAUCUUCUAGAAGAUGAGGAAAGCAGAAAAUUUCAGAAAUGUCUCCAUGAAGACAAAAACCUUGUCCAUGUUGCCCAUGACCUUAUCCAGAAACUCUCUCCUAGAACUAGUAAUGUUCGGUCCACAUUUUUCAAAGACUGUUUAUAUGAAGUAUUUGAUGACUUGGAGUCAAAGAUGGAAGAUUCUGGAAAACAACUCCUUCAGUCAGUUCUCCACCUGAUGGAAAAUGGAGCCCUCGUAUUAACUACAAAUUUUGAUAAUCUCCUGGAACUGUAUGCAGCUGAUCAGGGAAAACAACUCGAAUCCCUUGACCUUACUGAUGAGAAAAAGGUUCUAGAGUGGGCUCAGGAGAAGCGGAAGCUGAGCGUCUUACACAUCCAUGGAGUCUACACCAAUCCUAGUGGCAUUGUCCUGCACCCAGCAGGGUAUCAGAAUGUGCUCAGGAACACUGAAGUUAUGAGAGAGAUUCAGAAACUGUAUGAGAACAAGUCAUUUCUUUUCCUGGGCUGUGGCUGGACUGUGGAUGAUACCACUUUCCAAGCCCUUUUUCUGGAGGCUGUGAAGCAUAAAUCUGACUUAGAACAUUUCAUGCUGGUUCGGAGAGGAGAUGUGGAUGAGUUCAAGAAGCUUCGAGAAAACAUGCUGGACAAAGGAAUUAAGGUCAUCUCCUAUGGAAAUGAAUAUGCUGAUCUCCCAGAAUAUUUCAGGCGACUGACAUGUGAGAUCUCCACGAGGGGUAGAUCAGUUUUUGAGAGAGAAAGACAGAGAGUGAGUGGCGGAGGGGCAGAGAGAGAGGGAGACACAGAAUUGGAAGCAAGUUCCAGGCUCUGAGCUGUCAGCACAGAGCCCGAUGUAGGGCUCGAACUCGCGGACUGUGAGAUCAUGACCUGAGCUGAAGUCGGAUGCUCACCUGACUGAGCCACCCAGGCACCCCUUCUGCCGGUUUUUUAAUUGGAUUAUUGGCGGGGGGAGGGGUGUUGGGGUGUGUUGAGUUUUAUAAGUUCUUUAUAUAUUUUGGAUACUAACCCUUUAUCAGAUAGGUUAUUUGCAGAUAUCUUCUGCAUUUAGUAGGUUGCCUUUUAGUUUUGCGGAUUGUUCCUUUGGCUGUGCAGAAGCUUUUUAUUUUGAUGUAGUCCCAAUAUUUUAUUUUUGCUUUUGUUUCCCUUGCCUCAGGAGACAUAUGUAGAAAAAAAUUGCUAUGACCAAUGUCAAAGAGGUUACUGCCUGUGUUCUUUUGUAGGAUUUUUUAUGGUUUUUAGAAAAUCCUUUCAAAAGACAAACCUUUGGGUUUGUCUCUUGUGAAAACAAUUUGCUAUUCUUUCUUUAGGGAUGCAUUUUCUGUCCUUCCAUGCUUCAGAUUCUUCUGUUGUUGGCCCACACUUAGGACUUUUCAGUAGGCUUUUCCACUAAGCAUAUUGUAUUGUCAUCAAACAAGAGCAGGGAUGGUGAGAGAAGGUCAGCUCAAUGGCUCGUCCACAGCACACAGUGAAAUAAGAGACUGUAGAACAUGAGAGGGCUGGAGAGAUCAUCACCAUUAGACCAAACCGUCAGGCCUGACUGUGGAGAGUAUUUAACAAGUAAACUUACAAGAACCCAACACAGCUCUGUGGAAGUACCAAAACCCAGCGGUUGAAGGUUGGGGGGGAGAGUUGGGGGUAGGGGGUGUUCCAGCUCAAUCCUUCAUGCCCACUGGUUCUUGAUCUUCUGCGUCCUAUUCCAGUUCAAGAAUCCCCAAGUGACAGUGGGACCCAAUGCAGCUCCCCCACCCUUGGGUGGACAUGCCUGUGUCCACACAGCAGAUCAGUGCAGCACCUCCACUGACUGUGGCUACAGCCCUGCAUGAAGGACUUGGGAUCUGGAUGCCGUGGGACCGCCAUGGCCCUUGUUGCAGUUUUGUACUCUAUACUUGGUUUUUCAAUUAAGCUCAAUGGCUUUUUUAAAACAUGACUCGAAGCUCUAGUUUUCUAGACCUUUUACAGUGUACAGUAUUUUACAUAACUGAGCUGUAUUAAAAGCUUGUUCAUUUA